UGAGCAGGAAGCAUGCACAAAGCUCCAUGGGUCUGCAGCAACAUAUGAAUUCACCAGGAGGAUGAACAAAUUAUUUGACUGCUUGAACUCUCGGAGGCCUGAGCAUGUGCAGUACAAUGAAGCUGAACAUGUUGCUAGAUUUUUUGGCAUUGUCAGACAUGUUGCCGGUGAUGGAGGACAGCCAACAGUCCAGCAAUUCCUAUUUAUAUAUAGGAUGCUUUCUGUGAAGAAUCUUGUCCAGCCGCCCAAGCGAUCCUCAGUAGCUGGAGAUGGUCCACAACUGCUCCUCAAGCUGCAAGAUUUAUUCAACAAAGAAAAACCUACUGGGGCCUGUCAUGCUGAUUCUUUGGCUAUUCUUCUGGAUGAAGUCCUCUUGGAACCUGCAGAAACGGCGGAGGAGGCUUCAGUUCUCUGCCAUCAGCAGUCCCCAAAAGAAUGCAUAAUGGAUUACCUUGCUGGCUAUGUCGCAAAAAAGUUUUCUUCAUUGAGCUGCUCGAGCUGUGUAAGAACAAUGAGAAGUUUUGAACGAGCGGCAACUGGCCUGAUUCUUGCCAAAUCCAAAGGUGGUCUACAAGUGCCUUCCAACCAGCUAGUCGCUCUCCUCCAAAUUGUGGAAGAUCAUCUGGAAGUGUGCACAGUUGACAAAAUUGCCUGUUCUGAUGUGUACGUUAAUAUUGUGGAGAAUGUUUUGAUGGACAGUCGUACUGCUACAGCCGCUGUCGGCUGCAAAUCACACUUUGUAAGCACCACUGCAGAAGUAGUUCAGUUUUUUCUUAAGACCCGCUUGCAUUUUUUCACGAGAGAAAAAAACAAGCAAAUGCAAGCAAAGGGGCGA